rnacentral:rRNA from 1 species
GUGUCAGCAGCCGCGGUAAGACGAACCGUGCGAACGUUAUUCGGAAUCACUGGGCUUAAAGCGCGUGUAGGCGGGAAUGUACGUCCGUCGCUGAAAUCCCCCGGCUCAACCGGGGAAGUGGCGCGGAUACGGCAUCCCUUGAGGGGCGUAGGGGGACCUGGAACUUCCGGUGGAGCGGUGAAAUGCGUAGAUAUCGGAAGGAACGCCGGUGGCGAAAGCGGCGCGCUGGACCCUUACUGACGCUGAUGCGCGAAAGCCAGGGGAGCAAACGGGAUUAGAAACCCCAGUAGUCC